rnacentral:rRNA from 1 species
UAAUACAUGCAAGUCGAGCGAACCNAUUAAGAGCUUGCUCUUAAGAAGUUAGCGGCGGACGGGUGAGUAACACGUGGGUAACCUGCCUAUAAGACUGGGAUAACUCCGGGAAACCGGGGCUAAUACCGGAUAACAUUUUGCACCGCAUGGUGCGAAAUUGAAAGGCGGCUUCGGCUGUCACUUAUAGAUGGACCUGCGGCGCAUUAGCUAGUUGGUGAGGUAACGGCUCACCAAGGCGACGAUGCGUAGCCGACCUGAGAGGGUGAUCGGCCACACUGGGACUGAGACACGGCCCAGACUCCUACGGGAGGCAGCAGUAGGGAAUCUUCCGCAAUGGACGAAAGUCUGACGGAGCAACGCCGCGUGAGCGAUGAAGGCCUUCGGGUCGUAAAGCUCUGUUGUUAGGGAAGAACAAGUGCUAGUUGAAUAAGCUGGCACCUUGACGGUACCUAACCAGAAAGCCACGGCUAACUACGUGCCAGCAGCCGCGGUAAUACGUA